GGAGGGAGGCAGCAUCGUUUGGUCUUGCCACCCCAUUUUACUGCUUCACUCAACCUGGAGUGUUGGGACCUAUUCCCUCUCUGCGUUCUCUCCAACCAGGCUGGGUGGAGUAAGGGGUGUGGGUGGACAGGGGGUUCUGCCCUUUUCGGUGACUUUAAAAAAGGUACCACCGGUGUCUAUGGACUGCAUAGCGCUUAGGAGAGGGGGAUUUGAUUACUAAACCGUUUACUUUUUUUUCCCUUCGGUAAUUUGGAUUUGUUUCCUAGGCCCCCUCCCCCGUCUUCCCUCCCGCCUUUAGCGAAGUGACACACUUGCUCGCUCCAGUUGGAUGUUGGAACUUACACCUUCUCGGAGGUGACGGUGCCAGGUACUGGGGAGAGGGGGACAGAGGCGACUUCCCUUCCUUCCAGCCCAGGAUGCCUAGAGGGGCAGCGGUUGGGCUGCAUGGGGCUCUGCCCGCAGCACUCCUAGGAGGGAUUGAGGGGCUGCAGCUGGCCAGGCGUGGCUGCUAAUUGGACUCACGCUAAGUCUCCGAGAGAGCAUCAGCUGGGACCUAUCUGCUAAAGGCGGGAGCACGGGCACCUGCACCGAGGAACCGGGGCGGCUUGCGGGCAGACGACGACCGGCCGACUCAGAGCCUCUCCUCCUUCCUGCCCAGAACCUCCCCAGCAACUCCUGGACCUGCGAGGGCCGGAGAACAGAAGUGCGUGGCAGAGGCUGCUUUCCUGAAGGUGAACCGUUCCGGCCAAUUGCCUUUUCCCAGAGAGCAAAAGGGAGGGCGGGAGAAGGAACGGAGUCCUGUGUGAGUGUGUGUGAGAGGGAGAGACGACGUGAGGCGAGAGGAAAAGUCUGUACUCGGCGUUAAAAGCAAACAAAUCAGAGAUGGAAUAAGGGCGGUAAUUGCUGCAAGACCGCCUUGAUUCUCGCAGUGGGGGGAGCUGAGCGCACCGCGCGUAUCCGGCGAGGACGGCGGGCGACCGCGGGCGCUGGCGAGGGCUGCGGGACUUUGGCUUGUCCUCGGGGAAACACAUUUUUUUUUUAUUACUUUGACACCGUGGCAUAGAAGGGAGGAAAAGAGGCGAGGCUCGCUCGCUCCACCUUCCAUCCGCUUUAAGGGGAUUCCGGUGUAAAUGUCAAGAGAUUCCUGAGUCUCUGUGCCAUCGGAGGAGGAAACACACACACACGCGCGCGCACACGCACGCUCCGGACCUCACUCACCAGCCCUCCACGAGCACACCUCACCGGACUCCGGUUCCCUAUGCCCCUGAACGGGGACGGCGGAUUGGCAUCUUGGAAGCGAUGCAAGAGCGAUAAGGCUGGCGCGGGCCCGCGGAAGCUGCAGGAGCAUCGCUAGGUGUUGCCGCCACCAGGAAGCCGGGCUGCAGAGAGAGUGGAAGGUAGCAGGAGACACACAGAGAGAAAGAAACAUCGAUGUGAGAGACACACAUGGAUUGAUUGCCUCCCGUACAUGCCCGACCAGGGUUGGGGAUUGAGCCUGCAACCGAGGAUGAGUAAGGGAUACUUACAGAAAGCAACAAAAGGAAAACUGCUAAUAAUAAUAUUUAUUGUAACCUUGUGGGGCAAAGUCAUAUCCAGCGCAAACCAUCAUAAAGCUCACCAUGUUAAAACGGGCACUUGCGAGGUGGUGGCACUCCACAGAUGCUGUAAUAAGAACAAGAUAGAAGAACGGUCACAAACUGUCAAGUGCUCCUGCUUCCCUGGGCAGGUGGCAGGCACCACGCGAGCUGCUCCAUCUUGCGUGGAUGCUUCCAUAGUGGAACAGAAAUGGUGGUGUCAUAUGCAGCCAUGUCUUGAGGGAGAGGAAUGUAAAGUUCUUCCUGAUCGGAAAGGAUGGAGCUGCUCCUCUGGGAAUAAAGUAAAAACAACUCGGGCAAACGUGUAAAACUCUUCAAGUUCGAAUGGAGGAGUAGAAAGAGAAGGUUUCUGCUGUGCCUGAUGACAAUUUUUUAAUAUCCGCACUCAAAAUAUUCUGGCUCCACCAUGGAGCACUAGUGUGGUGAAUCCGAAUGUUGGUCGGACUCUAAGGAAGGGACAGAAGUUUCGUUGAGGAGUAAAGAUUCAAAACAACUCCAGAAAUGAGCUCUCACCUUGGUUUAUUUCUCACAGAGCAGCAGGUAACCCAUUAACUAAGAAUAAAUCAAACGACCCUCAAGGCUGAUUACAUUGAACAUAUGCACAGAAACUUAACUUCUCUGGUGGUCUUGAAGGAAGAUUUUUAUACUGCUCUGAAGAGGCACUCCAGACUCUUGUUUCCAAGGGAUUUUAUGGCUCGUAAUCAGCAUCUUCUUGAAAUCAAGACUUUAAAAAAGUCAGACAUGAACUUCUGUGUCAUGAAGAGUUCAUCAGAUUUGAACUGUGUUCAACUUGUAAAAUUGCACUUCCUAAAAGAAUUUGAAGUCGUCAUCUGAAGAGUUGGUGUUUCCGGGCGAUGUCAGAGACACUCGCAUUUUGGGCUCCUGGCUCCAAAUGUGACUGCUUUUCUUGUUCCUGAAAGUCUCCCAAAUGCACUGGCCUUCUGUCAUGAUGUAUUCCUGGGUCUGGUCCUGUGUUCAGUGGCUAGUGGGACUGUAUAUGGCUUUAGUGACAUUUCCUUUGCAAACUUCUCUGGCAUGGUGUGGACUGAGAUCAUUUUAUUUGUAUCCUAAUCUUGGAGCUCUGAAAGCCUACAUGUUUUAACAUCUUAAAGUUGCUUUUGUUAAAGGAAUGGAAAAAUAUAUCCAUUGAUAAUAAUUAUUGUUGGCAAGUAAUACUUAUCUGAAUACAUCAAUCACCUAAGAAUGUAUAGACUAGCUGACAUGUUUCCCCAAGGCUAACACACUACUGCAGCUCUCUGUCAGUUAAAUAGGUAGUAGUUAGAACUGAAUUACCAUUUUCAUUGUAUACUAUUUUAUACCUCUAGAGCACUCUUCCUUCCUUUCUUUUUUUUUAAGUGGGCUGUUUUCUUUCCUUUUCAUGUUUACUUUUUUCCUUCACAGAAAUCGGCAGUGAGCAGUCAAGUAUUGAGUUCGGUAGCCUUCAGUUUCAAAAAUUGCCAGGGAUGCAUGUGGGUUUCUGAUUUCUUAGCUUGAAAGUUAUUCAUUUACAUUUAUUACAUUUUAAAACUGUUCUUUCUAUCUCAUUUUAGAAGACUGUCUCUUGCUUGACCCCAAUGACUGUUUGAAUGCUGUUUGUCCAGUCUGUAGAUAAAAUAAAUGAUCAUUUUCUUGGGUCUCAAAUUUAUAAAUAUUUCUUAUAGUUGUCCCAUUUGAACAAUUUCUUAGGUUAUUUUUUGCUCACAUUUUUGUAGUAAUUUUAACAUUUGUGGUUUUCAGUUCUAUAGGAAAAUCAUAGAAAUAUUUAAAGGCCUUAAACAUGUAUGUACCUUUUUUCCUAAGUUAUUACAGAAUGUAUACUUUUAUAAUACAUUUAUUUUGUUUCAUUUAUGAUGUGAAGGGAGCGAAGAAUGGAAAUUGCAAAGCUAUUCUGUAAUAAUAAUGUGUAAACUUACAGUUUGAAGGAAUGUAAAUGGAGGGACUCCUGUGUUUUACUCAUCUUAGACUAAUAGGAAGGUACUUCAGAAAUUGUCCUAUUAGAAAUUCCAUUAUGUUAGAGAAGGUGUGGACAUCUUUUGUGUUUCUAAAACUCACUGACGUGGCCAAUUAGGUAUAUGUUGGUUUCCAUGAUGGAGGCUGAGCAGCCUGAAGACCUUCGGUCUGUUAGUAGGUAACAACUUUCAAAGACUGAUAGAAACUUUUCUGGGCAAAACAACUAAAAGUGGUAAAAUUUGUUAAAACUUAAAUUUGUAAAGUAUGCUUUUGACAUUGAACUAAAGUAUACUGCCCUAUAAGUCAAUGAAAUGACUUACUCCUUUUAUUUUAAUUAUACAUAAAACUAGAUGGCUCCACAUGGAUUUUGCAAUGGUUCAAUACUUUAUGAACGUUAAGACAGGAAUAACAGUUGUGCUGGAGUUUCUGCAUCAAUUAUAUCAUUAAUUGGUUUGUAACAAAGAAGAAAACCAUAUUACUUUGGAAAUUACAAAUUUGUCCUAGAUUGGUUUGAAAUUAUAGAUCAUGCCUCUCAUUUAUUAAACCAUGUUCUUUAAAACAACACUAAAAAUUCUGUACUAUAUAUGUGUAAUACAUGCAUAUCAAUAGAAAAAAUAAAUGGAAUUUCAAAUAUACUAACUAGAUUAUCCCCAAUAGAAUACUGUUGUGACUAUUCAGAAAAGUGAAUAAAAUUGGGAUAUAAAA